rnacentral:lncRNA from 1 species
AGACUUCACCCAGACUCCUACGGGAGUCAGACUCCGUCCACAACGCCAAGGAAGACUUCACCCAGACUCCUACGGGAGUCGGGCUCCGUCCACAAUGCCAAGGAAGACUCCCCCCGGACUCCAGGCUCUACCCGGACUCCUACGGGAGCCGAGCUCCACCCGCGACUUCUGCAGCAAGGGCUGAUGGUGACGAAACCCAGCCGCCCAACAAGAUCGGAUGAAAGAAAAAAGCC